rnacentral:rRNA from 2 species
UCUAAGUAUAAGCAAUUAUACCGCGAAACUGCGAAUGGCUCAUUAAAUCAGUUAUCGUCUAUUUGAUAGUACCUUACUACUUGGAUAACCGUGGUAAUUCUAGAGCUAAUACAUGCUGAAAACCCCGACUUCGGAAGGGAUGUAUUUAUUAGAUUAAAAGCCAAUGCCCUUCGGGGCUCCCUGGUGAUUCAUAAUAACUGCUCGAAUCGCACGGCCUUGCGCCGGCGAUGGUUCAUUCAAAUUUCUGCCCUAUCAACUUUCGACGGCUGGGUCUUGGCCAGCCGUGGUGACAACGGGUAACGGAGGGUUAGGGCUCGACCCCGGAGAAGGAGCCUGAGAAACGGCUACUACAUCCAAGGAAGGCAGCAGGCGCGCAAAUUACCCAAUCCCGACUCGGGGAGGUAGUGACAAUAAAUACUGAUACAGGGCUCUUUUGGGUCUUGUAAUUGGAAUGAGUACAAUUUAAUUCCCUUAACGAGGAACAAUUGGAGGGCAAGUCUGGUGCCAGCAGCCGCGGUAAUUCCAGCUCCAAUAGCGUAUAUUAAAGUUGUUGCAGUUAAAAAGCUCGUAGUUAAACCUUGGGCCUGGCUGGCCGGUCCGCCUCACCGCGUGCACUGGUCCGGCCGGGCCUUUCCCUCUGGGGAGCCGCAUGCCCUUCACUGGGCGUGUCGGGGAACCAGGACUUUUACUUUGAAAAAAUUAGAGUGUUCAAAGCAGGCUUAUGCUCAAAUACAUUAGCAUGGAAUAAUAGAAUAGGACGCGUGGUUCUAUUUUGUUGGUUUCUAGGACCGCCGUAAUGAUUAAUAGGGACAGUCGGGGGCAUCAGUAUUCAGCUGCGAGAGGUGAAAUUCUUGGACCAGCUGAAGACUAACUACUGCGAAAGCAUUUGCCAAGGAUGUUUUCAUUAAUCAGGAACGAAAGUUAGGGGAUCGAAGACGAUCAGAUACCGUCGUAGUCUUAACCAUAAACUAUGCCGACUAGGGAUCGGGCGGUGUUAUCUUUUGACCCGCUCGGCACCU